rnacentral:rRNA from 1 species
UACGUAGGGUGCAAGCGUUAUCCGGAAUUAUUGGGCGUAAAGAGCUCGUAGGCGGUUUGUCGCGUCUGCUGUGAAAACCGGAGGCUCAACCUCCGGCCUGCAGUGGAUACGGGCGGACUGGAGUUCGGCAGGGGAGACUGGAAUUCCUGGUGUAGCGGUGAGAUGCGCAGAUAUCAGGAGGAACACCGGUGGCGAAGGCGGGUCUCUGGGCCGAUACUGACGCUGAGGAGCGAAAGCGUGGGGAGCGAACAGG